AACGAACGCUGGCGGCAGGCUUAACACAUGCAAGUCGAGCGCCCCGCAAGGGGAGCGGCAGACGGGUGAGUAACGCGUGGGAAUCUACCCAUCUCUACGGAAUAACGCAUGGAAACGUGUGCUAAUACCGUAUACGUCCUUCGGGAGAAAGAUUUAUCGGAGAUGGAUGAGCCCGCGUUGGAUUAGCUAGUUGGUGGGGUAAAGGCCUACCAAGGCGACGAUCCAUAGCUGGUCUGAGAGGAUGAUCAGCCACACUGGGACUGAGACGCGGCCCAGACUCCUACGGGAGGCAGCAGUGGGGAAUAUUGGACAAUGGGCGCAAGCCUGAUCCAGCCAUGCCGCGUGAGUGAUGAAGGCCCUAGGGUUGUAAAGCUCUUUCACCGGUGAAGAUAAUGACGGUAACCGGAGAAGAAGCCCCGGCUAACUUCGUGCCAGCAGCCGCAGUAAGAC
rnacentral:rRNA from 1 species